rnacentral:rRNA from 1 species
UACGGGGGGGGCAAGCGUUGUUCGGAAUUACUGGGCGUAAAGGGCUCGUAGGCGGCCAACUAAGUCGGAUGUGAAAUCCCCAGGCUCAACUUGGGAACUGCAUCCGAUACUGGAUGGCUUGAAUUCGGGAGAGGGAUGCAGAAUUCCAGGUGUAGCGGUGAAAUGCGUAGAUAUCUGGAGGAAUACCGGUGGCGAAGGCGGCAUCCUGGACCGACAUUUGACGCUGAGGAGCGAAAAGCUAGGGGGAGCAAACGGGG